rnacentral:rRNA from 1 species
CAGCCGCCGCGGUAAUUCGGAGGGUGCAAGCGUUAUCCGGAUUCACUGGGUUUAAAGGGUGCGUAGGUGGGCAGGUAAGUCAGUGGUGAAAUCUCCGGGCUUAACCCGGAAACUGCCGUUGAUACUAUCUGUCUUGAAUAUCGUGGAGGUGGGCGGAAUAUGUCAUGUAGCGGUGAAAUGCUUAGAUAUGACAUAGAACACCAAUUGCGAAGGCAGCCCGCUACACGGUUAUUGACACUGAGGCACGAAAGCGUGGGGAUCAAACAGGAUUAGAUACCUUGGUAGUCCACGCCCUAAACGAUGGAUACUCGACAUAUGCGAUACACUGUAUGUGUCUGAGCGAAAGAAUUAAGUAUCCCACCUGGGAAGUACGACCGCAAGGUUGAAACUCAAAGGAAUUGACGG